GAGAAAUAAAAAUAUUUCCUAAUCAUCAGUAAUUAAUAUAAGUAAGCGCAGUUCAAAAAAAAUGAUUGAAGAUGACGCAGGCAAUAAUUAUGUUGAUGGGAUUCGAAGUUUUAAAACUAAAUUUAUAUAUUAAUAAUAUAAAUAUAAAUUUAAAUUAUGCCAGCGUGAAAAGGCGGCGGAGUUAUUUUGUUACAAUAGCGUCAUUUCCGGCUUCUAUGGAAUUCAAACUCUUGUCCGUUGACCCGCAUGCUUAUCUCGACGCGUGGAGAAGGAUAUUGAAUUUAUUGGGCUUCCUUCCGACAGAUAACCGUCCAUGUGUGCAGGCCAGGAUGUGCCGGAUGGUAAUUUGAUAAAACUUAGAAACUGAUCAGCUUUUAACGCGAUGGACACCUGAAAAUUAGUAUAUUUAUAAAGAAGCCUC